rnacentral:lncRNA from 1 species
GCCGUCGUUUCGUUGUCGACGGCUCCGCAUUCGCUUUUAACAAUACAGAAUCUCAGUCUCAGUUUUUACACAGAAUUCAUCGGUGUGUCUGUAUGAAAUUCAGAAAACAAGCCGCAAAAUAUACAAAGCGCAUGUGAAACUAACGAUUUUAAUAAGCCAUCGGAAUAAAAACAGUGUCAAUAGUUAAAUUGAAAGUGAAAAGUGUUGGAACAACCAUAUUUGGUAGCGCCAAUGUCCAAAUUCUAGAAGUUACCACAGUAACUAGUUAGCGAAAUAAAAGCAGCAUUCUGUGCGGAAGAUAUUCUUUGUUCAGUUUUAAGAAAAAUUUCACCGAGCAUUAUUUGUUCAAGUCCAAACAUACGCCUCGAAGUGUGUCGCAAUUUCUUUAUCUAGAAUUGUGUGUGUUUAUGAAUUUGAUUUUUUCCGCUCAAAUAAAAGUCUAAAUUAAUUUAAGUGUUACUCUUAAUUUUUGACAAAAUUGAAAGUGAAGUGUGUCCUUGAAAGAAAAAUUAGACCAAAACCUAAAAAAAAGUUGUAUAAAACAUUGAAAAACCCCAGUGUCGUUUUGAAGUCGAAUUCUGCGCGUUAUUUGCAAGUGGUGCCAUCCCAAUUGCAAAGCAAAAAACCAGCGUUCCAGCCGCCACAUUAAUCCAACCAGCGUUCUUCCUCUUGGUUAGCCGAUUGUGCAAACUGCCUGACAUUCGCAUUCGCAACAACAGCGCAUACAAGUUUUUGUAAAAACCAUGUAAAGUUAAUUAUUUUUGAAGUUUCGAAAGGCAUAAAUAUUCAAAAUAAAAAGUAUUUGCAUAUUUUUGCGGCUAACCAGCACAGAAAACAACAAAAAAAAUUAAAAUAAAAUAAAAAAAUGUAUUAAAAAUUAUU